CGCACAGAGUCGGACACGACUGAAGUGACUUAGCAGCAGCAGCAGCUGACACUGAGUAGAUUGUCAGGAAGUGGUAAUGAUGCUGUCUGUGACUGUAUCUACUGAGCAGAACACAUCCUCUGCUAUUAGGAGUUUCACUUAUAGCCCUUUGGAUGCCAGUGUUCCUAUUUCUUAUACAGAUGAAGAACCUGAGGUUCAGAGAGGACAAUGGGUCUUGACAGAAUUAAAAAUAAUCAUUAAAUAAAUAUACAGUUAGUCUCUUAAGCUCUUUAAAGGGAGCCAUUGGGGCUUCCCAGGUGACACAGUGAUAAAGAAUCCACCUGCCAAUACAGGAGACACAAGAGAUGUGGGUUCAAUUUCUGGGUUGGGAAGAUNNNNNNNNNNNNNNNNNNNNNNNNNNNNNNNNNNNNNNNNNNNNNNNNNNNNNNNNNNNNNNNNNNNNNNNNNNNNNNNNNNNNNNNNNNNNNNNNNNNAUACAGGAGACACAAGAGAUGUGGGUUCAAUUUCUGGGUUGGGAAGAUCCCCUGGAGUAGGAAAUGACAACCCAAUGUUCUUUCCAGGAAAUAUUCUUUCCUGGGAAAUUCCAUGGAUCCCAGGAGCCUGGGGGGCUAGAGUUCAUGGGGUCACAAGGAGUCAGACGCAGCUGAGCACAUGCACACACAUAAGGCAUCUGUUACUUCAGUUGGAAGAAAAAAAAUUGGAAAUCUUUUCCAGGUGCAGAGAGAGUCCAGGAUUGGUAGGCAUGCUCCAGUUGUGGGCAGGGUCCUGGUCUAAGGCAGCAUCCACUUCCCUGGGCAGAGCUGAGCGGGAGAUCCUGCCCAUGCCCGCCAUGCUGGGAUGAGCUCCCAGUUGAAAUCAGGCUACCAGUUCUGUUUCCUGUGCAUAGCAUAUCAGUGAUGUAGUGAUAGUGAGACAGAUGUUUGUGGGACUCUUCAUCACUUAGUGCUUGUGGAUUUUUAGUUACUAUUAUUUUUCCACUGUGAAAUUUAAAGCUAUACAGAAGUAAUGAAAGCAUUUCAUAAAGAAAAAGCCACCAGCAUUCAUCUUUAUUCCCAGCACCUUCUGAACCACUGUUUUAGUAUCUUUUCCAGCAUUGUCCAGAGGCAGCAGGUCGAGACCUGUGUCAAUGAAGCAUUUUGCUUUCCAUGUGGGCUGAAGGGCUCUGGUUUGGAGCGUGUUUCUUGGUGCCUCAGUUCUGUUAUUCCCGAGCUGUUGGACUUGGGCCAGUUCCUCAACCUCCCUGGGCCUCCAUGGCCUUAGCAAUCAAUGCUCUGGAGAUAACACUGCUGCUGGUUAGGGCUGCUGCUUUCUGACAUUGGUUGGGAUACUGGUGAGGAGAGUCUCAGGGGAUCCAUGGGAAGGAGGAGGAGGGGACAGAUGAGGAAGGGCUUUAUCCAAGCCAAGGAGUUUGGUUUUCACCCUGAGGGCAGUGAGGUGCCAGUGACAGGCUGCAAAUAUAUUUUACUGUUUCAGAUUCUCAGAAACGUAGUGGUAGACACCUGGAUCAGGGACCCUGGAUCAGAACCUAGCAGGGCUCAGAGUGGUCAUUAAUGAGGGGGCAGAGGGUGAGGAAGUGGCCAGACUCCAUCCCUACAGAUGGGGAAACUGAGGCCCACAGGGUCUAUGUGACUUCUCCAGGUAGACUCAGCAGUUGAGAGGUGGGAGCCCAGAUCCUCUGCUUUUCGGCACUGUGGCCCACCUGACCCAGGCUGCCAGCUCCCAAGGACAGAAGGACCCCACUGUCAUGCCUGCGGGCAUGUGGUUUGUGUUUUUCUUAGACACAGAGCCGAAGACCAAGGCUAGUAUCACCUGAAGGUUCAUCAUCCUCGAUCACGGUGCCUAGAACCCUGUCCAGCUGCCCUGUCCUACUACUUGUCAAAGAUUAUUCUAAUGAGGCUUAUUAUUCUGAUUGUCUUUAUGUUUUACCUUGCCACUUGAUUAUUUGGGGAAGUUUGUUUGUGGUUUGGAGUACCUCUGACGGAGACAUGACCUCAUCCUGCAUACAACUGCUCUUUAAUUAAAGUGCUGGGUCAAGAAAAAGAAUCAUUUUGCUAAGUAGGACAUCACUGCAACAAUUGGUGACAUACAUUGGAGUGGGAAACGUAUCAGUGAUAACAUCUCCUGGUUUUGAUAAUUGUGUUGUGAUCGCAUCAUGUCUUUGAUGUUAAGAGAUGAAAGCCACAGCACUGAGGGUGAGCUGUUGUGGUGUCUGCAAUUUAUUUUCAAACGGUUCAUUAAAAAAAUAGACUUUUAUGUAUAGAAACAUCUUUAUAGAUAAAGUAGCCAAGGGAAACUAUGAACUAUUGGUGAGUCUAAGGAAGAUGUGGAGAGUUCACUAUACUAUUCUGCAGUUUUGAAACUCUGCGAAUUGAAAAGUUUGUACUUUUCAAUUUGUACUCCUAGUGGGAGAGGCUUGGUGAGGCUCGGCUAUAUUCACCAUCCACCCUUUGGUCUCCGGCCUCUUCAGCCUCUCCAUCACCUCUAGGUGGAGAGAACUACUCACUCCACAGUUCCAUUCUGAUCAGCCCCUUGGGGACCAGUCUUGAAUCAGAGACACAGACUUUUGACAGGAUUCAUUCUACUUUCUUUAGAGAAAUCAUUUCAUUUUCAGAAUCUUUCCUUUUGGGUCAAUUUUCCUUCAAUUUUCCAUUUCUCUUCUUCCUUUACACGUUUAUUGUGUUGCCUUCUAAAAUUACUAAAGUCAUAUUUUUAUUGUAACUAUUCAAACAAAGAGGAGAAUAAAGAAAUAAAUACAUUCUCUCCAUCUCAUGUGACGUAACCCAUGGUAGGUGGAACCCCAGAACUUUCCCCCAUGCUUGUAGGAACACAUAGAAAUUCACACACACACACACAUGUAGGGCUUGGUGUCUUUUUUUUUUUUUUUUUUAUCCUUUGCUAAUCUGGGAUCCCUACCUCUCCGUGAAGACAUGACUUAAGGGCUCCCUUUUCCAGGAAGCCCUCCGGGCUCUGAGCACUGACCUUAUUUCAUUGCAGUCAUCUGAUUAUAAGCCACCACUCCUGCCAGAUCGUGGGUAAUGCAAGGGCAGCAGCUGUUUCCAUUUCAUCAUCUAUACUCAAGCCAGGAGCCCAGGAGUUUGUGGAGUGAACAGAUGGGCAGGGCCAACAUCCUGGGCAAGGAUGCUGCCUGAGCAGAGCCUUGCAGGUAAGAGACGCCUCCUCCUUCAAACAUUCCUUCUAGCCCCGAGGAAGAGAGUUCCAAGGGCCUGGGCAUUUGGGGACAGAAAGUCACUUUGGGGAACAUGGCCACUGCCACCCUGAGGCUCNNNNNNNNNNNNNNNNNNNNNNNNNNNNNNNNNNNNNNNNNNNNNNNNNNNNNNNNNNNNNNNNNNNNNNNNNNNNNNNNNNNNNNNNNNNNNNNNNNNGACAGAAAGUCACUUUGGGGAACAUGGCCACUGCCACCCUGAGGCUCCCAUGCCCUGGCUGGCUGUCCUAACAAUAAUGCCCUGUGUGGGCCAGGCUGGUGGGAUGGGUCAUGAGUGACCAAGGGUGGGGCCGGGGCUGGGUUCUCUCUUUCCCCUCAGGCCCAGUACAGGCUGGCCAGCUGGUGGUCUUGGGCGCAAGGAAGUAGCCCAGGCUAAGGCCGGAGAAGCACAGGAUUUAGACAUGGGCCUGGCCUGGGUCUCGUUAUCUUGCCCUGUGUCGGCUCCGUCCUCAUUAGAGGCACUGCUUUCUGCAGCUGGGAUUUAUUAAUCUUGUCUGCAGAUUGCUCAGUUGGUGCCAAGGGGCCAGGGCAUAGCCAGCUGGAGGAAGUUGAAAGAUCAGCAGGAUGUAAAGCUGAGGGGCUGGCAUCUCAGCUAGUGUGCUGGGGAGUGUAGACAGGAGCAUCCCUUGCUCUGGGCAGCUGUCCUGAGCUCGCCUGCCGGUUCAGACUGAGGGCAUUGCAGCUCACCUGAAGGCAGGACUAUAGACAUUAGAACAUUGGACUGAGGUUUCAGAGGAUUUGCAUUACUGGAAGAGAGUGGGCUGAGAAUUCUCUUGUGACGUGGUGUGUGUUCUGGGAAGAGUGGUCAGGGUCAGUUGAGGAGCCUGUGGAGAAGUGAGAAAUUCAGCUUUUCUGUUAGUUUCAGUUAUUAAUGAUGAAUAUCAAUAAUGCUUAACUAUUAGAUAUCUUCAUAGCUCUGUAAGAAUAUACACUUCAGCAACUUUGAAAUUAGCAUUUUCCCUAUUUAAUGGAAGCAUAAACUGAGUAGGAAAGUGACUUUGAAAAGUCAAGUCUGUGGACUCAUUCCUGAUUCCGUGGCCAGGCCCUGUACCGGGAGUUGACAUUUGGAGAUGAAAUAAGCACAGCCCUAAUCUCACGUGGUCUAGGUGGUUUCUGAGAUUGGACCACCAACAUUCAGGACAUGUAAAGAUCCCUCUUCCAUCUUCCCACACCCAUCACUAUUUGGCAUUCAUUUCCUUGGCAUUUGUCUCUGAACAAAUGCUGAACUGAGUUGGUCUAACCAACCAGGGAUCCCCAACCUCCAGGAUCUAACACCCGAUGAUCUGAGGUGGAGCUGAUGUAAUAAUAAUAGAAAUAAAGUGUACAGUAAAUGUAAUGUGCUUGGAUCAUCCCAAACCAUCCCCCACCAGGUCCAUGGAAAAAUUGUCUUCCAUGAAACCACUCCCUGGUGCCAACAUGGUUGGGGCCUGCUGGUCUACACGGCAGGAGGUUCUGUAUUCUCUCUCUCUCAGUGUCUUGUCUGCCUGUCCACCUAGGCUAACAGUCUUUGAUGACUGGGGCUGUACUGUGAAUACCCAGUGGUGGGGGUCGUGAUGGUGGUGCUGGGAGGGUGGUGGGGAGGGAGGUGCUGGUGAUGGUGUUGUGGUAAUAAGGGUGGUGGUGGUACGGGUGAUGGUGCUGGUGGUAAUUAUGGUGAUGCUGAUGAUGGAGGUGGUGGUGAAAGUGACUUUGGUGCUGGCAGUGGUGAUGGUGAUGAUCUUGGUGAUGGUGGUGGUAUCAGUGGUGGUGGUUUGAGGGUAGUUUUGGUGACGGGUGUUGUGAUCACGAUAAUUUGGUGGCAGUGGUGAUGGCAGUGAUGGUGGAAAUGAUGCUGAUAGAGUGGUGGGGUGCUGGGGAGAGUGUGAUGGUGAUGAUCUUGGUGAUGGUGGCGGUAUCGGUGGUGGUGGUGUGAGGCUGGUUGUGGUGAUGGGUGUUGGUUACUGAUAAGGUAGGAGACGCCUCCUCCUUCAAACAUUCCUUCUGGCCCUGAGGAAGAGUCCCAGGGCCUGGGCAUCCGGGGACAGAAAGUCACUUUGGGGAACAUGGCCACUGCCACCCUGAGGCUC
rnacentral:lncRNA from 1 species